GAAUAUGUUCGAGAGCCAGGAAGCUCUAUAAACAGAGCAAAUUAUCCUCUUCCUCCAAGACCAGAUCACGCUCACCUGAAUCCGACUUAUGUUGAGCUGGGCGACCCGAGCUUGGACAGAGUGCAUAAGCCUCUCCCUGUACCACCUUAUGACGGCAAAAGUCCACCUCCUACUGUGCCUUCUCUUCCA